rnacentral:lncRNA from 1 species
ACCGAGCGGCUCCGGCGGGCAGGGGCUGACCGCAAGGACCCUGUGCCCGGGGUGCUCUCUCCGGAGCAGGAACACGAGGUGACUUCCCCCUUUGCCUUUGUUUGCCUGUUUCUCCUAACUCCCGUGACAGUUGCAGUCGCUCUAUCCCUGAGCCGUAUGACCCUUAGGUCUACGUGGCCAGCUUGGUAAUCUAUUAAAAAAAAAAAAAAUAAAACAAACCACACCACGGAGUAAAAGCGAUGCUAAUUAUCUUCCUUGGAGUUUGCCAGGGAGCGGAGACCCGGGAGCCGCUCUCCCCGCCCCGGGCCGCCUUCGUCCCGUCCGGCGGGGGGAGACCCCCCCGGCGGCGCUGCGGCCCCCCCCUCCCGCGGGCAGGACACCAGGAGCCCGGGGCUUGGCAGGGAGGACUUCGGGUCCGCGGGAACCGCGAACUCGGGGGUGCAGCAAAGAGCACAUCCCACCUAACGACAGCUCACCUGGAGACACAGGCCGGGGAGGAGUGGGGAAGGGGGUGUGUGGGGGGGGGGCUGCUGGCAGAGAACUGAGCAGCCCCGCAGGAGGAGCAGGUUUGGGGCAGGUGACCGUGGGCUCUGAGCACGCAGAGUGGUGCUUUGCCGGCUCCGGGGCCCUGCAAGUCCGUCUCGCUCCCGUGCUCUGCCCGGCGAGAACUUCUGAACGCCGCGGCGGCAACGUAACUGGACCUCGCAUCACGAAUUCCCCACCUAGCGCCACAGCCGGGAGGAGAGGACCCCGCCACGCCGCUGGGGGAAGCGGGGGCUGGUGGCCGUUGGGCGACGGUGCCCGAUGCUGGGCUCCUGCCCGCGGAACCGGGGCCCACUGGCGGCUCCUCGGCGUGGGGCUGGGUUCUGCCCUCAUCUUUGGGGCGCAUGGCUCGCUGGAUGCGCUUAUAGCUGCCUUUCCCCCCAGCGAGCCCCCUCCCCAUCUAUUUGCACGCGGAGCUAUAUAAACACCAGUGAUAGUCUCGUACGUGAAAUCACUGUUUGCUAGCACAGCUAUUCCAACUCGUUUCAGAUAUUUGGACUCAGUCUGUUCAAUGUAGCUUCAACCUAUUGACUUGCCAGACGAGAUAUUCAUGUGGACCCAGUUGCUGAAACAGACUUUAGCUCUAAACUGUGCUACUCUCCAUCUGACGGAUGUUAAUACACAAACGAAAUCCAUUUGGGUUUUUUUUUUUUGUUACCAGAAGGCUGCGCUGACGUUCAAAUGAUCUAAAUCUUAGCAUCUGGAAGCCUGUACAAGCAUCUUCUUGGAAUAGGUUUCAAGACAUUUCGUUCAACCAAAGCUGAGAAAGGAUCAAAAUGGGACACCAAGCAACUGACAAUAGCUUCCCGUCUAAAUGAAACUGGCUGCUUCAUUUGAAAGUACACAAAUGAAAAAAUGCCUUUCCAUUUACUAUAGCCCCUUCGGGUAACCCCGCACCCUCCCACCCAAGGUCCAUCUAGGAGAUGCAGUGUAGCAUCGGGAUGUCCCCAAGGCCACCGCCUGCAGGUCCACGGGGAGCGGGGAGAGAAGACCAGCUUCAUCUGAGAGAUACUCGCUGGGCUUGGGCUUCGUCUAGGAUUUUCUGGGUGCAGCAAUUCACCGACACUAGGACAGGACAUAUUAUCUGAGUACCAUUCAAUCUUAAUGAAGAUCUGUGAAGACACAAUAAAUACAGUAGUCCGGAUAUCA